ensembl:lncRNA
CACAUAUUUACUGACACAGGUUGGAAAACACUUCCUUUGGAGGAUGUAGUAUUCCUUUCACUGUGUUACAGUGACCCGGAAGAUGCUGUCAGUGGAGAUAAGAGAUUGGCAUGAUGGCUGCAAGAGCCAAGGGUCAAAAAAGUGUAGUCCCUGUGUUGUAGUUUCCUGCUGGCCAGAAAAGAUGUCUUUCCAUCAUAACUCAUUCUGAAAUCCUCUGUGUAUAGGACAAGUGGUCCCUUCUUGGAGAUGAUGGAGGAGAAGGACAUUUGUGGGUAUGCACACUGUGUGAAGUAAUCUUCUGGGAAAUCUUUACCUUUCAUGGGAAAAGGCGGACACAAAUAAAUUCAAAAUGUAUCUUAGGAGGAGGUGAUUAAAGAACUUGUCAUUUCAGACAAAAACAUUGAGGGGGGAAAAAUAAAAACAAAUUAACAUCAACAACAAGAUCAAAAGGGUAUUCUUAUUUUUUGUUUUUCCAGUAAAAAGUUUGCAAUUCCCACUUCCAAGUGACCUUUGAUAAAUUUCCAUUCCAUAAUUCAGAGUUGCUUGGUGGAGCUUGGGUUGCUUCGUGUAACUCCUGAGCUGGAUGCAACGCUCAAAGAUCCUGAGGCCCAGGUCUCCAGGAGCUCCAGGGCCCUUUUCCUCCUCUGAAUUUUGGAUAAUAUCUUGGUGCUGAAACUUUGUCAAUAGAGACUUUCCAAUCUGGGGGACCUCUGGUAGAAACUGUAUCAGAAGGGAGAACAUUUCACAUUUCUGUAGUGUGGAAAGAAUAUGAGUGAAUGGGCAAUUGAUAUAGAGCUGAAGGAGAAGAGACCGGACUGGCACUGGUGUCACAACAAGAUUUUGCCCUAUGGAGUGUGACAUCUCUGGGCAGAUGCAUGGAAAUGGGGUGAGAGAUGGUGGGAAAGGGCAGGAAGGACAGGGAUCAUGAAUAGAAGAGCAACCCUGCAGCUGUGUUUCAGUGACAUUGGAACAAAAAUCAGGACUGUGAGAUAAGAAAUAUAACAGGAUAUGAUUUUUAUCAGAUGAGUUGGCACAGCUGGAAAUGGCAGAGGACUGCAAGCCACACGCCUACAUGCUGGUGGUUUACCCAUGUGCAGCAGGCAGAAAUAAUUCCUUUUCUCUCAGACUUUAUUGCACUUAUAUUCAAAGAGCUGCAUGUGUGUUCCAUCACUUCUGAAAUGAAACUCUAACAUCAGCAGCAACCAAAACUUGUAAUAACGCUUUGCCUACCUAACAGUGAAUGCUCCAGCAGUGCUACAUGUGAAGCCUUAAUCUGAUCAAGCUUGAGAUUCAACAACACGUUGAAAGUGCAAGGUGCAGCACCUUGAUCUGGGCAAUCACAGACAUGAGUAUGUUUUAUUUUUCCAGGUUGGAUGGAGCCCUGGGCAACCUGGUCUAGCCCACGGCUGGGAGAUUGGAACUAGGUGACCAUUGAUGUCCCUUCCUACCUAAGCCAUUCAAUGAUUCUAUGAUUCUUCAGCUGGUGUUCUUGCUUCCCAUAUCCCCCUUUCAUUAUUUAAUUGUUUGUUUAACUCUGAACUCUGAAAUAUGCAUGAAAAAUUAAGGGGCAGAGGAGCACUUAAGAUCAUAAAGCACCUAUUUGAUCCUGUGGCUUUGCAGGAAACAAAGAUUUUGCCUUGUAAUCCUCUGGAACCCAAGGGAGAGCCAUCUGUCUGUCAGUACCAGAGAUAACUUCUCUUCUAGAGGAAUACAAAAUCUGAACCACAGCUGCAGCUGCAGCACUGCUAUCCAAGCUUUACGAGUGUUUUUAAGAGGCAAUUGAACAAUCAGUCCAGUAAGUAAAACUUGUGACUUGCUUUCUCCCACUCACACUUAGGAGAGUACAAAAGAUAUAAUAAUGUUCAUUGUUUGGGCUAAAAAUUACAUGGGGGAAGUAAUACUUCCCCUUAAAUGAAUCAGCUUGAGGCAGCUUUUUUUAAAGAAUGGUGUGUCGUGUUACAGGACAUUUCAGCUUCUGAGAAAUGCCAAUGCAGCGUCUCCACAGAUCUGUGUUCACUCUCAGCAGGUCACUGGGCAAACCAAGCAUCUGCCUAGGGUUUCAAAAUGCUAAUACCCUUCAGAAAAUGUUAACUUUGGUUAGAUCCUGAUGAUUUGGACAGGAUAGAGCCUCUGUAGGCAGUGCUGUCCCAGGAGACAGUAAAGUCAAGCAGUUUAAUUGAGUAAGAAUUGGCAAAUCUUUGCUACAAACUGAUAUUUAUUUGCAUUGUGGCAGGAACACCGAUGUUGACCUGAUUUCUGCUUAAGGAACACCUGACUUUGUUUCCCACUUUCUCCCUUCCCAGCUCAGUUCCUGGGGUGACAGGGCCAAGUUCCAGCAACAAUAGCUGAGUUCUGGCAUUUUGACAUCCAAACCAGGGUAAUUGGGUUGUUGGGUUUGUUUGUUUGUUUGUUGGUUGUUGUUGUUAUUUUUGCUUGUUUUUUAUUUUUGCUAUCUUGCUUCUCCUUCUCAGGAUUGUUGUUGCAAAACCAUGUGCAAUUCAGCGCUGAGCAAUGUGUUCCCUACACACAGCUCAGUGCAGUACACUGGGAUGGUUACUAUUAUCGACACUAUUAGGACAUACAGGAGAGGUAAGUGUGUAUGUUUCAAAGCAUAAUAGCAACAGGAUGGCAGAUGGACACACAUGGUUGAGUAGUUAUCACAUGUUUCUCGAUAGAACUUCUUAUCUGAAGUCAAAUUUUCAUGUUUACAUUUUGAACACUCAUAAACACUUGCUGAGCAAAAAGUAAAAUGCAAUAAAAAAGUACUUACCUUCAGGCACUGACCAAACUUAGGCAUAUCCCUGGGCAAAUUGCACUGAGUGUGCCCGAAAGUGCCCUUAGCACAGUAAUCUGUUAUGAGUGAUAAUGAAAAUUUAAUCAAUAACUGAUUUCCAGAGAUGUUUCAGCAGAUAUCACAAACCACCACUGAUCUUUGCUCAAGCACAUGACUUUCUGAAUCAACAUGUGAUGUCCAAGUGUGAUAGUAGGCAGUCUCCUGAACAGCAGCAGAAACAGGAGUUUGUUUCCUGGUUGGCAUCAAGAUGGAAAGUCUAUUUUUGGAUCUGUACAAGUUAAAAUUUCAGGACAUUGUUCCCAAAAGGAGUUUGCUCAUGUUUCUAGUUAGUUUUUGUCUCCUUCACAGAUUCAGCCAUGGUCUUAUUCAACUCCUGCUCCUUUAGUACAUACGUUUUGAGAUUGGUCUACAGGCCAGCACCUUCAGAAAGAGAAGCUUUCCUUCCUUAGGAGUAGAUCUAGACAUCCAUUCUGUUGGUUUUUGCCACUGAUGCAGACCUUAUUCCUUCUUUCCCUUGUGUAAUUCCAAUGAUGCUAUUCCAAGCAGUGCUCAGAAUAAACACAUAAUGUUCAUUCUGUCUCCCUUUUCAGCAUGAUGCAAUAGAAGGAACACCAAGCUGAGAUAAAGGUGACAUGGGGAACUGUUGUAGGCAGCUUGAAGGUAUAACUAUAUGCGAAAGCCCCACUGGUUCUGGAGUUGGCCUAUGGAUUCGCAAUGAAUGGAGCAACCAGAAAGGAAUGCAGAUAUAACGGAGAGCCCUCCCUGCCAUCUGCACCCAUGAGCCCACUGCAUCAUAGGAUUUUUGCAGGCCCUGCCAUACAAAAAUAACCAAAACCAAGUGAAAAAGUGUUUAGUCUUACAAAUCUCAAAAUAAAAGGAACCUUGGAUAUGAGUGAUUCUUUCUCAUCUCUAAACAUAUAUGUACUUCCAUAAUGCUGAACUCAAUUCUUCUUUUCUUUAUCUUGCAUUUAAACAAUAGACCAGGUUUUAUGGUUCUAUGCGAAGAACUUGUUACACAAGCUCCAGUGACUCACAAUCUUGUUGAACACUGUAUUCCCAAGUACUAGCCUCUAACACCAGGAAUCCUGGUAAAUGGAAUUAAAUAUUUUGCAAGAAUAUCUUGCUACAGCAUUUAAUACAUCUCUUGCAUAACUGACUCUUUUGGUGGGAUCUUUACUUUGGAAAGUAAAACAGAUAUAUGCAUGUAUUCAGUUGAGAGGUUGUAACAUGUUGAUACUGAUUUACUUGAGAGUUUUGGCCAAAUUUGGUGUGCUUAUGUUGCUGGGAGUAAAAGGGAG